CCUACGGGACGCACCAGUGGGGAAUAUUGCACAAUGGGCGCAAGCCUGAUGCAGCCAUGCCGCGUGUAUGAAGGAGGCCUUCGGGUUGUAAAGUACUUUCAGCGAGGAGGAAGGCAUUAAGGUUAAUAACCUUGGUGAUUGACGCUACUCGCAGAAGAAGCACCGGCUAACUCCGUGCCAGCAGCCGCGGUAAUACGGAGGGUGCAAGCGUUAAUCGGAAUUACUGGGCGUAAAGCGCACGCAGGCGGUCUGUCAAGUCGGAUAUGAAAUCCCCGGGCUCAACCUGGGAACUGCAUUCGAAGCUGGCAGGCUAGUGUCUUGUAGAGGGGGGUAGAAUUCCAGGUGUAGCGGUGAAAUGCGUAGAGAUCUGGAGGAAUACCGGCGGCGAAGGCGGCCCCCUGGACAAAGACUGACGCUCAGGUGCGAAAGCGUGGGGAGCAAACAGGAUUAGAUACCCCGGUAGUC
rnacentral:rRNA from 1 species